AGUGAACGCUGGCGGUAGGCCUAACAUAUGCAAGUCGAACGGCAGCACAGUAAGAGCUUGCUCUUACGGGUGGCGAGUGGCGGACGGGUGAGGAAUACAUCGGAAUCUACUUUUUCGUGGGGGAUAACGUAGGGAAACUUACGCUAAUACCGCAUACGACCUACGGGUGAAAGUAGGGGAUCUUCGGACCUUGCGCGAUUGAAUGAGCCGAUGUCGGAUUAGCUAGUUGGCGGGGUAAAGGCCCACCAAGGCGACGAUCCGUAGCUGGUCUGAGAGGAUGAUCAGCCACACUGGAACUGAGACACGGUCCAGACUCCUACGGGAGGCAGCAGUGGGGAAUAUUGGACAAUGGGCGCAAGCCUGAUCCAGCCAUACCGCGUGGGUGAAGAAGGCCUUCGGGUUGUAAAGCCCUUUUGUUGGGAAAGAAAAGCAGCAGGUUAAUACCCCGCUGUUCUGACGGUACCCAAAGAAUAAGCACCGGCUAACUUCGUG
rnacentral:rRNA from 1 species